rnacentral:rRNA from 1 species
CCUACGGGAGGCAGCAGUGGGGAAUAUUGGACAAUGGGGGCAACCCUGAUCCAGCCAUGCCGCGUGUGUGAAGAAGGCCCUCGGGUUGUAAAGCACUUUCAGUGAGGAAGAACGCCUGGUGGUUAAUACCCAUCAGGAAAGACAUCACUCACAGAAGAAGCACCGGCUAACUCCGUGCCAGCAGCCGCGGUAAUACGGAGGGUGCGAGCGUUAAUCGGAAUUACUGGGCGUAAAGCGCGCGUAGGUGGCUUGAUAAGCCGGUUGUGAAAGCCCCGGGCUCAACCUGGGAACGGCAUCCGGAACUGUCAAGCUAGAGUGCAGGAGAGGAAGGUAGAACUCCCGGUGUAGCGGUGAAAUGCGUAGAGAUCGGGAGGAAUACCAGUGGCGAAGGCGGCCUUCUGGACUGACACUGACACUGAGGUGCGAAAGCGUGGGUAGCAAACAGGAUUAGAUACCCGAGUAGUC